rnacentral:rRNA from 1 species
GACGAACGCUGGCGGCGUGCCUAAUACAUGCAAGUCGAACGCACUCUCGUUUAGAUUGAAGGAGCUUGCUCCUGAUUGAUAAACAUUUGAGUGAGUGGCGGACGGGUGAGUAACACGUGGGUAACCUGCCCUAAAGUGGGGGAUAACAUUUGGAAACAGAUGCUAAUACCGCAUAAAACCUAACACCGCAUGGUGUAGGGUUGAAAGAUGGUUUCGGCUAUCACUUUAGGAUGGACCCGCGGUGCAUUAGUUAGUUGGUGAGGUAAAGGCUCACCAAGACCGUGAUGCAUAGCCGACCUGAGAGGGUAAUCGGCCACACUGGGACUGAGACACGGCCCAGACUCCUACGGGAGGCAGCAGUAGGGAAUCUUCCACAAUGGACGAAAGUCUGAUGGAGCAACGCCGCGUGAGUGAAGAAGGUUUUCGGAUCGUAAAACUCUGUUGUUGGAGAAGAAUGUAUCUGAUAGUAACUGAUCAGGUAGUGACGGU